UUCCCCUCAAAUGUGGCUUUUCCUCUUUCUUUUCCUAUUUUUUUCCCCUUAAAUGUGGCUUUUCCUCUUUCCCAUUUUUCCCCUCAAAUGUGGCUUUUCCUCUUUCUUUUCCUAUUUUUUUCCCCUUAAAUGUGGCUUUUCCUCUUUCCCAUUUUUCCCCUCAAAUGUGGCUUUUCCUCUUUCUUUUCCUAUUUUUUUCCCCUUAAAUGUGGCUUUUCCUCUUUCCCAUUUUUCACCUUAAAUGCAGCUUUUCCUCUUUCUCUUCCUAUUUUUUCCCUCAAAUGUGACUUUUUCCCCUCAAAUGUGACUUUUCCUCUUUCUCUUCCCAUUUUUUCCCCUCAAAUGUGGCUUUUCCUAUUUCUCUUCCGAUUUUUUAUCCUCAAAUGUGAUUUUUCCUCUUUCUCUUCCUAUUUUUUUCCCUCAAAUGUGACUUUUUCCCUUUUUCCCCUCAAAUGUGCCGUUUCCUCUUUCUUUCCUUAUUUUCCCCCCUCAAAUGUGACUUUUCCUCUUUCUUUUCCCAUUUUUUCCCUUAAAUGUGACUUUUCCUCUUUCUUUUCCCAUUUUUUUUCCCUUAAAUGUGGCUUUUCCUCUUUCCCAUUUUUCCCCUCAAAUGUGGCUUUUCCUCUUUCUUUUCCUAUUUUUUUCCCCUUAAAUGUGGCUUUUCCUCUUUCCCAUUUUUUUCCCCUUAAAUGUGGCUUUUCCUCUUUCCCAUUUUUCCCCUCAAAUGUGGCUUUUUAUUUUUUAAUCCUCAAAUGCGAUUUUUUUCAUCCCUCUUUUCUUAUUUUUUCCCUCAAAUGUGAUUUUUAUUCUUUCUAUUUUUCCUCUCAAAUGUGACUUUUCCUCUUUCUUUUCCCAUUUUCCCAAUUUCUCCCUAAAUAUCACCUUUCCAUUUUUCCCCCCUAAACUGAACUUUUCCUUUUUUCCUAUUUCCUCCAUUCUUGAUCCUUAAAUGAGACUUUUCCCCUCUCUUUUUCCCAUUUCCCUCCUUUUUUAUCCCUUAAAUUUGACUUUGCCUCUUUCUUUUCCCUAUUUUUCUCUUUAAAUAUAAUUUUUCCCCAUUUUUGGCCCCCGGAUUUAACUAUUUUCCUCCUCUUGAUCCCUAAAUUUAACUUUUCCUCUUCCUGUUUCCGAUUUUCCCCAUUCUUGUCCCUUAAAUGGGAUUUUUUCCCAUUUUCCCCCCAUUCUUGACCCUUAAAUUUGAUUUUUUUUUCCCCCCUUUCCCCCCUAAAUUCCAUUUUUCCUCUUCCUCUUCUCCAUUUUCCUCCUUUAAUUUGAUUUUCCCACACCCUGCUCUUCCCCCAUCUGCUUUUUAGGGAAUUCUGGGCCAAAUCCCAGCGGGUGUUUUUUUUUUUUUUUGGGAAUUUCACAAUUUUUAACCUUUUUUUUAAAUUUUUCUCCAGAGUUGAGCAAAUCCAUCAGCCUGGAGCUCCCUGAGGUCCAACGUCUCUCCCUCCUCCUCCUCUCCAGCUUCCAGGUAAAUUCUGGAAUUUUUUGGUCCUUCCAGGGAUGGACCA
rnacentral:lncRNA from 12 species